rnacentral:rRNA from 1 species
CCUACGGGUGGCAGCAGUGGGGGAUAUUGCACAAUGGGGGAAACCCUGAUGCAGCGACGCCGCGUGGGUGAAGAAGCGCCUCGGCGCGUAAAGCCCUGUCAGCAGGGAAGAAAAUGACGGUACCUGAAGAAGAAGCCCCGGCUAACUACGUGCCAGCAGCCGUGGUAAUACGUAGGGGGCCAGCGUUAUCCGGAUUUACUGGGUGUAAAGGGGGCGGAGACGGCGAUGCAAGCCAGGAGUGAAAGCCCGGGGCCCAACCCCGGGACUGCUCUUGGAACUGCGUGGCUAGAGUGCAGGAGGGGCAGGCGGAAUUCCUGGUGUAGCGGUGAAAUGCGUAGAUAUCAGGAGGAACACCGGUGGCGAAGGCGGCCUGCUGGACUGCAACUGACGUUGAGGUCCGAAAGCGUGGGGAGCAAACAGGAUUAGAUACCCGAGUAGUC